UCCGGGCGGACGCCGAGUCCUGCCGCCGCCCGGAUGACCGGUCGACAGGAGUGGAUCGGCAGGAGUGGAGGACCCAAGCACGACGGGUCGCCGGAACGGUCACGCCACGACCGGGCCGAGCGGUCCUUGGGGUGAAGCCGCGGCAACGCGGCCGGGCAACUUCGCCAGCCCGAAUCCGACAGGUCAUCCUUCACAGGCGGCUGACGAAGGGUUG
rnacentral:sRNA from 2 species